rnacentral:rRNA from 1 species
AGAGUUUGAUCAUGGCUCAGGACGAACGCUGGCGGCGUGCCUAAUACAUGCAAGUAGAACGCUGAAGAGAGGAGCUUGCUCUUCUUGGAUGAGUUGCGAACGGGUGAGUAACGCGUAGGUAACCUGCCUUGUAGCGGGGGAUAACUAUUGGAAACGAUAGCUAAUACCGCAUAACAAUGGAUGACCCAUGUCAUUUAUUUGAAAGGGGCAAAUGCUCCACUACAAGAUGGACCUGCGUUGUAUUAGCUAGUAGGUGAGGUAACGGCUCACCUAGGCGACGAUACAUAGCCGACCUGAGAGGGUGAUCGGCCACACUGGGACUGAGACACGGCCCAGACUCCUACGGGAGGCAGCAGUAGGGAAUCUUCGGCAAUGGGGGCAACCCUGACCGAGCAACGCCGCGUGAGUGAAGAAGGUUUUCGGAUCGUAAAGCUCUGUUGUAAGUCAAGAACGAGUGUGAGAGUGGAAAGUUCACACUGUGACGGUAGCUUACCAGAAAGGGACGGCUAACUACGUGCCAGCAGCCGCGGUAAUACGUAGGUCCCGAGCGUUGUCCGGAUUUAUUGGGCGUAAAGCGAGCGCAGGCGGUUUGAUAAGUCUGAAGUUAAAGGCUGUGGCUCAACCAUAGUUCGCUUUGGAAACUGUCAAACUUGAGUGCAGAAGGGGAGAGUGGAAUUCCAUGUGUAGCGGUGAAAUGCGUAGAUAUAUGGAGGAACACCGGUGGCGAAAGCGGCUCUCUGGUCUGUAACUGACGCUGAGGCUCGAAAGCGUGGGGAGCGAACAGGAUUAGAUACCCUGGUAGUCCACGCCGUAAACGAUAAGUGCUAGGUGUUGGAUCCUUUCCGGGAUUCAGUGCCGCAGCUAACGCAUUAAGCACUCCGCCUGGGGAGUACGACCGCAAGGUUGAAACUCAAAGGAAUUGACGGGGGCCCGCACAAGCGGUGGAGCAUGUGGUUUAAUUCGAAGCAACGCGAAGAACCUUACCAGGUCUUGACAUCCCGAUGCUAUUUCUAGAGAUAGAAAGUUACUUCGGUACAUCGGUGACAGGUGGUGCAUGGUUGUCGUCAGCUCGUGUCGUGAGAUGUUGGGUUAAGUCCCGCAACGAGCGCAACCCCUAUUGUUAGUUGCCAUCAUUCAGUUGGGCACUCUAGCGAGACUGCCGGUAAUAAACCGGAGGAAGGUGGGGAUGACGUCAAAUCAUCAUGCCCCUUAUGACCUGGGCUACACACGUGCUACAAUGGUUGGUACAACGAGUUGCGAGUCGGUGACGGCAAGCUAAUCUCUUAAAGCCAAUCUCAGUUCGGAUUGUAGGCUGCAACUCGCCUACAUGAAGUCGGAACCGCUAGUAAUCGCGGAUCAGCACGCCGCGGUGAAUACGUUCCCGGGCCUUGUACACACCGCCCGUCACACCACGAGAGUUUGUAACACCCGAAGUCGGUGAGGUAACCUUUUGGAGCCAGCCGCCUAAGGUGGGAUAGAUGAUUGGGGUGAAGUCGUAACAAGGUA